rnacentral:rRNA from 1 species
GCUAAGGUCCCCAAUGCCGUACUAAGUGGCGAAGGAUGUGGAAUUCGAAAACAACCAGGAUGUUGGCUCAGAAGCAGCCACCAUUAAAAGAGUGCGUAAUAGCUCACUGGUCGAGAGACUCUGCGCCGAAGAUGUCCGGGGCUAAAGUACGGAACCGAAGCUUUGGCAAUUGACAUUAGUCAAUUGGGUAGGGGAGCGUUCCUGCAUGGGAGAAGCCUGACCGGAAGGACAGGUGGACAGGCAGGAAGAGAGAAUGCCGGUAUGAGUAGCGAAAAGAAGGGUGAGAAUCCCUUCCACCGAAAGCCUAAGGGUUCCUGGGCAACGAUCGUCGUCCCAGGGUAAGUCGGGACCUAAUCCGAGGCGGAGACGCGUAGGAGAUGGACAACAGGUUGAAAUUCCUGUACUGGCUGAGGCCGUUUGAGCGAAGGAGUGACACAGGAAGGAAGGCGCGCGUGCGAUUGGAAGAGCACGUCCAAGCAGGUAGGUCGGGAGACAGGCAAAUCCGUUUCCCGUGAGGCCGAGAUGCGAUGGGGAGCUUCUGGAGACAGAAGCGAAGGGGCUGGCACUAAACUGUCGAGAAAAGCUUCUAGUGAGGACUCAGGCACCCGUACCGAAACCGACACAGGUAGGCAGGAUGAGAAUUCUAAGGUGCGCGGGAAAACCCUCGUUAAGGAACUCGGCAAAAUAUAUCCGUAACUUCGGGAAAAGGAUAACCCAGCGUACGUGAAGUGCAGAAGCGCACGGAGCGGAGAUGGGUGGCAGAAGAGAGGCCCAAGCGACUGUUUACCACAAACACAGGCGUCUGCUAAAGCGAAAGCUGAUGUAUAGAUGCUGACACCUGCCCGGUGCUGGAAGGUUAAGAGGAAGUGUUAGCGAAAGCGAAGCAGUGAAUUGAAGCCCCAGUAAACGGCGGCCGUAACUAUAACGGUCCUAAGGUAGCGAAAUUCCUUGUCGGGUAAGUUCCGACCCGCACGAAAGGUGUAACGAUUUGGGCACUGUCUCAACGAGGGACCCGGUGAAAUUGAAGUACCUGUGAAGAUGCAGGUUACCCGCGACUGGACAGAAAGACCCCAUGGAGCUUUACUGUAACCUGAGAUUGGAUUCCGGUAAGAGAUGUACAGGAUAGUUGGGAGGCUGAGAAGUGAGUACGCCAGUAUUCACGGAGCCAAUGGUGGGAUACCAACCUUGUUUUAUUGGAAUUCUAACGAGAAGCGUAACGAGCUUGCGGACAGUCUCAGGCGGGCAGUUUGACUGGGGCGGUCGCCUCCGAAAGAGUAACGGAGGCGCCCAAAGGUUCCCUCAGCGCGGACGGAAACCGCGCGAAGAGUGCAAAGGCAGAAGGGAGCUUGACUGCGAGACGGACAGGUCGAGCAGGGACGAAAGUCGGGCUUAGUGAUCCGGUGGUA